GGGCUGCGUUAUGAUUGGGUUGGGGGUAUUGGGCCUGAUGUUGGGUAGUGGGUUAAUUGGGUUUGGUGGGUAGGACCAGGUUAGGGUCUGUAACCGGGUUUAGUGACUGGGCUUCAACCCGGAUUUAGCCCAUUGUAAUUGGACUAUUUACUGGACUUUAAAUUUUGUUUUGUUUUGUUUUGUUUUUGGUUUUUUAUUUUACUAACGGGCCGGGCAAAUUGGGCUUACUACAGGCUUAAUAAAACGGUUAAGCACGAAAAUAGUUUGGGCAUUAUAUUGUCCCCAAUACUCUCCCCAAUUUUGAAUAAUCUCACCACCU
rnacentral:lncRNA from 1 species